rnacentral:rRNA from 1 species
AUGGCCAACCUGAGAGCCGCCGCCACCGGCCAUCUCCGCGUCUACGGUACGUCGCUGUCUGAUGAUGGCGCCCUGCCGUGGGAGGAGAGGGAGCAGGACACAUCACUCCUUCUCCGCAAGAUCGAGCUCCACCGCGACGAGGCCGUCAAGCUGCUCGCCUCGCACCCCGAUCUGCUACGGUUCCUCGACGCGGCGACCUGCGUCGGCCUGCUCGAUCCGGUCUCCAACAUAGUCGUCAGCGCCAUGCUUGCCGCCGCCGCAGAUCCCGUCGACGGGGCCUCGGCGCUCGCCGGCGUCGACAAGGACAUGAAGCAGCGCUCCCUCGAUGGCCUCGUCGCCUUCCUCACCUGCUUCUUCCCUCACCUCACCGACUGGGAGGCCGUCAGGUACCUUGUCCUCGCCGAAGCCGACCCGCUCGUUGCCGCGCGCAUCGUCAUCGAGGACCGCCGCACCACGUGCUUCCGCCCAGGUUCCACGGCCACCAACGGCGCCCUCAAACUCGCUCUCAAGUGCGCAAUGGUGGCCGCCAAGCAUCCGUGUCCCUCCGAGCUCGCAGGCGUUUGGCUGUCCUUGUGCUCCUCCCUCGACACCCUGGAGAAGGCCGUCUCCUUGCUCAAUUCCCCCGGCGACAUCCUCCAAACUCUGGCCAAGCAGCAGCCAUAUGUCGAUGGCAUUGGCAGCAGCCUCAUCAGGCCAUGGGAGCUUGCCGCCCGUCGCAGUAAGCAAGCCGCCAAGGUGACUCAUCAGUAUUCCUGGUCACUGAGGCGAGUGCUCCUACAUACGAUCCAUGGUUUCUACCUGCAGGCACUCGCCAGGAUGCCGGGUGGCGAGCUGCGGUCUUGUUACCACCGUAGCAUGCUCAAGGCUGGCCAUUGCUACGGCCCUUUCGACCCUGUCACCAACAUCAUCGUCAAUACCAUCUGGUACGAAGCCACCUUCCCACCACUGAGUCAACUGGAUGAGCUCGACAUUCUCGGCACCUUGAACCUGAUGCGGAUUGAAGCACAAUCCUUCUACGGACUUGUCUCGUUCCUCUGCACCCAUGACAGAGAUCUCAAUGCCGAUCAGGCCAUAAGGUUCCUGCUCGACACGGAUCUCAACUUGGCCGCGACAAAGCACUGCAGCAGUGUCCAUGGAGAACAAGAAGCCUUCAGGGCGGCUGCAACUGCGGCAUGGCACCACAGACCUGAUGCCCAAGCAGCAUUCCUCAGCUCUUGCAAGACGCCUGCAGUCCUGUCACUGCUGUCAGAUAAUGGGGGCCAACAACAGCUCUCUUCUCAAUGUGUCCAGCAGCUUGCCAUGCUAUUGUCAUCUGCUUUCCGUUCCACUGGCAUGGUAGCCCAUCAGAAGCAACCAGUUGCCAUUUAUAAACGACGGUUCGAGCUUACCAUGUAUGAGGGACGUAUACAGCGAAGGGCUCAUAAAAGAAUCUCCAGAAAGAUCAGGGCUGCACUAAGCAGAUAUGAGGUGCAGAAUUUGGAACAAGCCUGUUAUCAGCUUCAUGUGGUCUGCGGUGUGAAUACAUAUGUGUCUGGUCCUGACGAGAGUUCAGUUCCAGUACUCUUCUUUGCCGAGCUUAGCAACAAGAACGACGACCAGGAUAGUCAGCUUCUAUGCUGCCCUGUGGAGUUUCCACUACCAGGGGCUGAACCAGUGCGCUGCCUUUUCUGCGAGCAAGAAGGGAUCAGGAUUGUACACCCAGCUAGUGGGGAGGGAUUCCAUGGGCACGAGGUGGAGUUUGGGAAGAUGGUUCGCGGGGAAGAUUUAUUCGAAAAUGUCGACUAUCCAGAGGAGUACGACAAUGAUCGCAUACUAACUAAUAGCGAAUUUGUUACGGACACUGUGGCUGAUGGACUCGAGGAGGACUGCAUGUACCUUGGUAGCAAUGACUUCACCAUCAAGGAAGCCGACGGUCAUGAGUGGGAUGAGUAUGGAGAGGAGUAG